rnacentral:rRNA from 1 species
UACAGAGGGGGCAAGCGUUGUUCGGAAUUACUGGGCGUAAAGGGCGCGUAGGCGGCCCGCUAAGUCGAACGUGAAAUCCCCAGGCUCAACCUGGGAACUGCGUCCGAUACUGGCAGGCUUGAAUCCGGGAGAGGGAUGUGGAAUUCCAGGUGUAGCGGUGAAAUGCGUAGAUAUCUGGAGGAACACCGGUGGCGAAGGCGGCAUCCUGGACCGGUAUUGACGCUGAGGCGGCGAA